ensembl:lncRNA
GCGGUGUGACGGCGCUAGGUCACAAUGGUCACAGAGGGUUAAAGGUGGCCCCCUGGGAUGUUUUAGGUGGGGGCUUGAGGAAGGCAAGCAGUUGAGCAUCUCGGCCCAGGUUCAGGAGUGAGAGGGUGAACGGGCCUCUCUAUGAGGCCAGGGGCGGGCUGGGGGCCCUUCCUGAACGCGCCACCACGUCUCUCUCUGUGCCCUUGGAUGCACGCGGUUCGGAUCCAGACCCUUGGCUCAUACCCAGCUGGCUGAAAGGACGAAGGGUGGGUAAUCAGCGCCCCCAUCCCUUCCAGGUUGCCCCUGCCAGGGUGCUCUGGAGCAAGAAGGAGGCCCUGCGCUCAGCCACCUGACCGCCAGGCCUGCUGAACACCCCGCGGCCUGCGAUAUGCGGAGCCACGCAGAGCUAUAUUGAAAACAGAUGGCCAUGAACUAUGCAUCCAGGUUACCAUAUUACCCAGGGGAAGGCUGCAUGCAGUACGCGUGAUUACCACCUGCACAGAAAGCUACAGCUGCACAAGGGAGGGUGUGCUAAUUCAAGUGCACACUGAUCUUUAAGAACGGCUCUAACCAGAUUAGCAAGAGAAGUGAUCAACAGACGCGCCAUAUGCAAAUGCUGACUGGGAGCCUCCUAUCCACCAGUGCCAGCCUUGCAAGACCUGGUGCUAUGCUGCUGGCCCGACCAGUUGUGAGGAGCUUGCCAGGUGUGGUGAGACACCCAGGGAAGCAGCGGGGCCCUACAAAGACCUUGGAGCUAACCAGGCAGCUUCUGCUCAAGUGUGUAAAGAUAACCAUCUACAGUCAGAACAAACAAACAACAGCCCCACCUGAAACUUGGCACUGGCCACUCUUUUUCCCCUUCAGCUGCGUCCCCGUCAGUUCUAAGAGAUCACUCUACUCAUCAGAAAAACCUUGUUUAGCCCUCAAGACCAUCAAUGGAGCCUUACACUUGUAGCCAGGCCAUCUCAGCUGAGGAACACAAGCGACUUACCUGUGUCUGAAGCCAAGCCCAGUAACCAUAGAGCUCCAGGGAGCAGGAGACAGCCCCCAGGUCUACAGCAGCUGCCUUCCCAUCGUGUCUGGGGCCACCUCCUCUAUUAACACUACAGAGAACAGAUCUUGAUUUGGUACGCAUGAAAGAGACCAAACCAACUGGAAGACUACUGCAGAGGUCCAAGCAAGAAACAGUGGCGGCUGGACUAGGAUAUUCUGAUUCGGGAUAUGUUUUUACAAUAUGUUUUUUUAAAAAAUCCAAAACAGCUCAAUAUCCC